GGGAUUGUAGCUCAGUGGUAGAGCACUUGCCUAGCAUGCAUGAGGCACUGGGUUCAAUUCUCAGCACCA
rnacentral:tRNA from 1 species